GAUGAACGCUGGCGGCGUGCUUAACACAUGCAAGUCGAACGGAAAGGCUCCUGCUUGCAGGGGUACUCGAGUGGCGAACGGGUGAGUAACACGUGGGUGAUCUGCCCUGCACUUCGGGAUAAGCCUGGGAAACUGGGUCUAAUACCGGAUAGGACGAUGGUUUGGAUGCCAUUGUGGAAAGUUUUUUCGGUGUGGGAUGAGCUCGCGGCCCAUCAGCUUGUUGGUGGGGUAAUGGCCUACCAAGGCGUCGACGGGUAGCCGGCCUGAGAGGGUGUACGGCCACAUUGGGACUGAGAUACGGCCCAGACUCCUACGGGAGACAGCAGUGGGGAAUAUUGCACAAUGGGCGCAAGCCUGAUGCAGCGACGCCGCGUGGGGGAUGACGGCCUUCGGGUUGUAAACUCCUUUCGCUAGGGACGAAGCGCAAGUGACGGUACCUGGAGAAGAAGCACCGGCUAACUACGUGC
rnacentral:rRNA from 1 species